CGAUCUGUUCAGAUGGCACUGAAGAGGAUCAAGGUGCAGAGUCUGAACAUCAUGACAGCAUCUUUAGUCAUCUGGAAGAGCUCCGCUUCAACCUGGAGCAACAAAUGGGCUUUGAGAAGUUCGUUGAAGCCUACAAUAAAAUUAAGGCAAUACAUGAAGAUGAAGAUGAAAAUAUCGACCUGGGUUCCAGUAUGGUCUUAAGCAUUUUGGGAACUGAGCACCAGCAUCUGUAUCCCAACAUCCUUCAUCUGGUGAUGGCAGACGGUGCAUACCAAGAAGAUAAUGAUGAAUAGUGGUUUUGUUUAGUGGA